rnacentral:rRNA from 1 species
UAAGUAGACGCCCAUACCGCAAACCGACACAGGUGGACAGGAAGAGAAUUCUAAGGCCAGCGGGAGAAGGGUAGUUAAGGAACUCGGCAAAUUGACUCCGUAACUUCGGAAUAAGGAGUGCUCGAAAGAGCCGCAGAGAAUAGGCCCAGGCGACUGUUUAGCAAAAACACAGGUCUCUGCCAAAUCGAAAGAUGAAGUAUAGGGGCUGACACCUGCCCGGUGCCGGAAGGUUAAGAGGAGGAGUGCAAGCUCCGAAUUGAAGCCCCGGUAAACGGCGGCCGUAACAAUAACGGUCCUAAGGUAGCGAAAUUCCUUGUCGGGUAAGUUCCGACCCGCACGAAUGGUGUAACGAUCUGGGCACUGUCUCAACUACCCACCCGGCGAAAUUGUAGUACCGGUGAAGAUGCCGGUUACCUGCGGCAAGACGGAAAGACCCCAUGGAGCUUUACUGUAGCCUGAUAUUGGGUUUCGGAAAUCUAUGUACAGGAUAGGCGGGAGACUGGGAAGUAUGAGCGUCAGCUUAUACGGAGUCAUUGUUGGGAUACCGCCCUUAGGUUUCUGGAAUUCUAACCUGCGACCGUGAAUCCGGUCGGGGGACAUUGUCAGGUGGGCAGUUUGACUGGGGCGGUCGCCUCCGAAAAGGUAACGGAGGCGCUCAAAGGUUGGCUCAGCACGGACGGAAACCGUGCCUCUGAGUGUAAACGCAAAAGCCAGCCUAACUGCGAGGAUGACGGUCCGAGCAGUAACGAAAGUUGGAGUUAGUGAUCCGGCGGUAUGUGAAUGGAAAUGCCGUCGCUCAACGGAUAAAAGCUACCCUGGGGAUAACAGGCUGAUCUCCCCCAAGAGUCCACAUCGACGGGGAGGUUUGGCACCUCGAUGUCGGCUCAUCACAUCCUGGGGCUGUAUUCGGUCCCAAGGGUUCGGCUGUUCGCCGAUUAAAGUGGUACGCGAGCUGGGUUCAGAACGUCGCGAGACAGUUCGGUCCCUAUCUGUCGCGGGCGCAGGAUAUUUGAGGAGCUCUGUCCUUAGUACGGGAGGACCGUGAUGGACGUACCUCUGUUGCACCAGUUGUCAUGCCAAUGGCACGGCUGGGCAGCUACGUACGGAACGGAUAAACGCUGAAAGCAUCUAAGCGUGAAGCCGACUCCAAGAUUAGAUAUCCCAUUGCAUAAGCAAGUAAGACCCCUUGAGGACUACGAGGUUGAUAGGCUGCGUGUGUAAGUGUCGUGAGGCAUUUAGCUUGGCAGUACUAAUAGGUCGAGGGCUUGACC